AGGGCGAGCCGUACCACGGCGGUGGCGGGGGAGCGCUUCGUGGGCAGCCGGCGGGCUCCGAGGCCGUGAGCGCAAAGCCUCAGGCCCCGGCUCCCUCCUGAGCUGCGCCGUGCCAGGCCGCCCGCCGGGAUGCAGUGGGCCGUGGGCCGGCGGUGGGCGUGGGCCGCGCUGCUCCUGGCUGUCGCAGCGGUGCUGACCCAGGUCGUCUGGCUCUGGCUGGGUACGCAGAGCUUCGUCUUCCAGCGCGAAGAGAUAGCGCAGUUGGCGCGGCAGUACGCUGGGCUGGACCACGAGCUGGCCUUCUCUCGUCUGAUCGUGGAGCUGCGGCGGCUGCACCCAGGCCACGUGCUGCCCGACGAGGAGCUGCAGGCGCUACUGGGCUGAGAUCUCGGAUACCAUCAUCUCUGGCACCUUCCACCAGUGGAGAGAGGGCACCACCAAAAGUGAGGUCUUCUACCCAGGGGAGACGGUAGUACACGGGCCUGGUGAGGCAACAGCUGUGGAGUGGGGGCCAAACACAUGGAUGGUGGAGUACGGCCGGGGCGUCAUCCCAUCCACCCUGGCCUUCGCGCUGGCCGACACUGUCUUCAGCACCCAGGACUUCCUCACCCUCUUCUAUACUCUUCGCUCCUAUGCUCGGGGCCUCCGGCUUGAGCUCACCACCUACCUCUUUGGCCAGGACCCUUGACCAGCCAGGCCUGAAGGAAGACCUGCGGAUAGACAGGAGCGGGCAGGCCCGCACAUAUCCACUUGCUGGAGCCCAUGUUUACAGACAGGGACAUACACCAUGCAGAUCCUGAGUUCCUGCUGUAUGAGCAGGGAUAUCCAUGCUUAUGUAUCCAAACACAGAGACCCAUGGGAACAAAUGAGACACAUAUAGAUACUGAGACCUGUGUGUACAGUAGGACCAUGCACUCACACCCAUCUGGAGAGGGAGCCCCCGGUAUACCAAGGGAGCCAGUUGUGUUCAGACACACACAUCACAGCUUGACUCACUAACUGAGGCCUUUCCAUAGCUCCACAGCUUCCCACCUCCUCCCCACCAAACCGGGGUUCUAGAGUUAAGGAUGGGGGAGGGUAUUAUACUGCCUCAGUCUGACUCCUCAACCCAGCAGCAAUUUGAGGGGAUGAGGGGGAAGAGGAGCUGCCUUUUGGAGGCCCCCUUCACCUGCAGCUAUGAUGCCCUUCCCCUUCUCCCCUGUCCUCACCAUAUGCCUUAUCCCCAUUCUACUCCCCUGCUAUGCAAGUGCCCCUGUGGCUUGUCCCCAACCCCCUCAGCAACAAAGCUCAGCUGGGGAACGAGAGUAAUUUGAAGAAUGCUUGAAGUCAGCGUCUUCCAUUCCAGAAAGACCCCCAUUCUUCCUUUGGGGGUAUGAUGUGGAAGCUGGUUUCAGCCCAGGACCCACCACUGAGGAGAGGAUCUAGACAGGUGGGCCUAAUUCCAAGGGGCCCUUCCUGGCCUGGAGAAGGCCUUUUACACACACACAACACAUACACACACACACACACACACACAUAUCACAGUUUUCACACAGCCCCUGCUGCAUUCUCUGUCCAUCUGUCUGUUUCUAUUAAUAAAGAUUUGUUGAUCUGUUCCA
rnacentral:lncRNA from 1 species